GGUUAAGCGACUAAGCGUACACGGUGGAUGCCCUGGCAGUCAGAGGCGAUGAAGGACGUGCUAAUCUGCGAAAAGCGUCGGUAAGGUGAUAUGAACCGUUAUAGCCGGCGAUGUCCGAAUGGGGAAACCCAGUGCAAUUCGUUGCACUAUCGUUAACUGAAUACAUAGGUUAACGAGGCGAACCGGGGGAACUGAAACAUCUAAGUACCCCGAGGAAAAGAAAUCAACCGAGAUUCCCCCAGUAGCGGCGAGCGAACGGGGAGCAGCCCGGAGUCUGAAUCAGCUUGUGUGUUAGUGGAAGCGUCUGGAAAGUCGCAGGGUACAGGGUGAUACUCCCGUACACUAAAACAUACAGGCUGUGAACUCGAAGAGUAGGGCGGGACACGUGGUAUCCUGUCUGAAUAUGGGGGGACCAUCCUCCAAGGCUAAAUACUCCUGACUGACCGAUAGUGAACCAGUACCGUGAGGGAAAGGCGAAAAGAACCCCGGCGAGGGGAGUGAAAAAGAACCUGAAACCGUGUACGUACAAGCAGUAGGAGCCCACUUGUUGGGUGACUGCGUACCUUUUGUAUAAUGGGUCAGCGACUUAUAUUCUGUAGCAAGGUUAACCGUAUAGGGGAGCCGCAGGGAAACCGAGUCUUAACUGGGCGUUAAGUUGCAGGGUAUAGACCCGAAACCCGGUGAUCUAGCCAUGGGCAGGUUGAAGGUUGGGUAACACUAACUGGAGGACCGAACCGACUAAUGUUGAAAAAUUAGCGGAUGACUUGUGGCUGGGGGUGAAAGGCCAAUCAAACCGGGAGAUAGCUGGUUCUCCCCGAAAGCUAUUUAGGUAGCGCCUCGUGAAUUCAUCUUCGGGGGUAGAGCACUGUUUCGGCUAGGGGGUCAUCCCGACUUACCAACCCGAUGCAAACUACGAAUACCGAAGAAUGUUAUCACGGGAGACACACGGCGGGUGCUAACGUCCGUCGUGAAGAGGGAAACAACCCAGACCGCCAGCUAAGGUCCCAAAGUCAUGGUUAAGUGGGAAACGAUGUGGGAAGGCCCAGACAGCCAGGAUGUUGGCUUAGAAGCAGCCAUCAUUUAAAGAAAGCGUAAUAGCUCACUGGUCGAGUCGGCCUGCGCGGAAGAUGUAACGGGGCUAAACCAUGCACCGAAGCUGCGGCAGCGACACUAUGUGUUGUUGGGUAGGGGAGCGUUCUGUAAGCCGUUGAAGGUGGCCUGUGAGGGUUGCUGGAGGUAUCAGAAGUGCGAAUGCUGACAUAAGUAACGAUAAUGCGGGUGAAAAACCCGCACGCCGGAAGACCAAGGGUUCCUGUCCAACGUUAAUCGGGGCAGGGUGAGUCGACCCCUAAGGCGAGGCCGAAAGGCGUAGUCGAUGGGAAACAGGUUAAUAUUCCUGUACUUGGUGUUACUGCGAAGGGGGGACGGAGAAGGCUAUGUUGGCCGGGCGACGGUUGUCCCGGUUUAAGCAUGUAGGCGGAUGUUCCAGGUAAAUCCGGAACGUCACUAACGCUGAGGUGUGAUGACGAGGCACUACGGUGCUGAAGUGACAAAUGCCCUGCUUCCAGGAAAAGCCUCUAAGCAUCAGGUAACAUCAAAUCGUACCCCAAACCGACACAGGUGGUCAGGUAGAGAAUACCAAGGCGCUUGAGAGAACUCGGGUGAAGGAACUAGGCAAAAUGGUGCCGUAACUUCGGGAGAAGGCACGCUGAUGGUAAGUGAAGUGACUUGCUCAUGGAGCUGAAAUCAGUCGAAGAUACCAGCUGGCUGCAACUGUUUAUUAAAAACACAGCACUGUGCAAACACGAAAGUGGACGUAUACGGUGUGACGCCUGCCCGGUGCCGGAAGGUUAAUUGAUGGGGUUAUCCUCGCGGAGAAGCUCUUGAUCGAAGCCCCGGUAAACGGCGGCCGUAACUAUAACGGUCCUAAGGUAGCGAAAUUCCUUGUCGGGUAAGUUCCGACCUGCACGAAUGGCGUAAUGAUGGCCAGGCUGUCUCCACCCGAGACUCAGUGAAAUUGAACUCGCUGUGAAGAUGCAGUGUACCCGCGGCAAGACGGAAAGACCCCGUGAACCUUUACUAUAGCUUGACACUGAACACUGGUCCUUGAUGUGUAGGAUAGGUGGGAGGCUUUGAAGUGUGGACGCCAGUCUGCAUGGAGCCAUCCUUGAAAUACCACCCUUUAAUGGCUGGUGUUCUAACGUGGGCCCCUAAUCGGGGUUGCGGACAGUGUCUGGUGGGUAGUUUGACUGGGGCGGUCUCCUCCUAAAGAGUAACGGAGGAGCACGAAGGUCAGCUAAUCCUGGUCGGACAUCAGGAGGUUAGUGCAAUGGCAUAAGCUGGCUUGACUGCGAGCGUGACGGCGCGAGCAGGUGCGAAAGCAGGUCAUAGUGAUCCGGUGGUUCUGAAUGGAAGGGCCAUCGCUCAACGGAUAAAAGGUACUCCGGGGAUAACAGGCUGAUACCGCCCAAGAGUUCAUAUCGACGGCGGUGUUUGGCACCUCGAUGUCGGCUCAUCACAUCCUGGGGCUGAAGUAGGUCCCAAGGGUAUGGCUGUUCGCCAUUUAAAGUGGUACGCGAGCUGGGUUUAGAACGUCGUGAGACAGUUCGGUCCCUAUCUGCCGUGGGCGCUGGAGAAUUGAGGGGGGCUGCUCCUAGUACGAGAGGACCGGAGUGGACGCAUCACUGGUGUUCGGGUUGUCAUGCCAAUGGCAUUGCCCGGUAGCUAAAUGCGGAAGAGAUAAGUGCUGAAAGCAUCUAAGCACGAAACUUGCCCCGAGAUGAGUUCUCCCUGACCCUUUAAGGGUCCUGAAGGAACGUUGAAGACGACGACGUUGAUAGGCCGGGUGUGUAAGCGCAGCGAUGCGUUGAGCUAACCGGUACUAAUGAACCGUGAGGCUUAACCUU
rnacentral:rRNA from 1 species